rnacentral:tRNA from 1 species
GCCCGGGUGGUCUAGUGGUAUGAUUCUCGCUUAGGGUUCAAACCCAAGCAUAUCUGCGAGAGGUCCCGCGUUCGAUCCGCGGCUCGGGCC